GGCAAAGUGUCAGAGUGGUUAAUGAGUAUGACUCGAACGACUCCGUCUAAUAGAUAUCAUAUGCCUUCGGGCGCGCAGGUUCGAAUCCUGCCUUUGUCG